CUUGCCCUACGGGGGGCAGCAGUGGGGAAUAUUGCACAAUGGGGGAAACCCUGAUGCAGCAACGCCGCGUGAGUGAAGAAGGUUUUCGGAUUGUAAAGCUCUGUUAGCAGGGAAGAGGAAGGACGGUACCUGCAGAGGAAGCCACGGCUAACUACGUGCCAGCAGCCGCGGUAAUACGUAGGUGGCAAGCGUUGUUCGGAAUAACUGGGCGUAAAGGAUGCGUAGGCGGUUAAACAAGUUAUAUGUUAAAUAUACAGGCUUAACCUGUAGAACACAUAUAAAAAUGUUU
rnacentral:rRNA from 1 species